UCGGGAUUACACAGGAGAUACAUACAUAUCGGAAGCUCUCGUGAAAGCUGGUGACUCUUUUUUCAAGGAUGGGACCAAGGGUAAUCGGAAAAAAUAUAAAGAUAUUGCUAUUGUUUUUACCGAUGGUGUAAGCAAUAGUAAAGUGGAACCUGGCCUUGACAGUGAAAAUAUGAAGGGCAUUCCUGUAAUCGCUGUUGGAAUCGGUAAAGACGCAACAGAAAUAUCUCUGAAGGAAGUAGCACGAGGAAGAAAGGAAAACGUUGUCAUGGCGACAGGCUUUAAAGAUCUGUCGAACAAACUCGACGAGAUUGCAAAUAAAGCAUGCAAAGCUUCACGUGCACAGCCGUAAGCAACAUUGUGGUCUUCUGGMGAUUUUAAGAUAUUAGAUGUAAUUGAUGAAAAAAAAAACACAUUAGAAAAAAAUGUUUAGCUAAUGAAAAAAUGAGAGUUCAUAUCGCACGUCGCUGAUAAAAGAACCCGUAUACUAAUAUUUCAAUGGUAAAUCUAUAAAUCUACUGUUAGCAGCAAAGAAUAAACAAAGUUUAUCUCUAUAAAUCUAGUCUGUUGCAAAUAUAAACCACCCAACCCAUCCCAAGAAAAAUACUCCACGCCUUCCUGGCGAAAGAAUAAAUGACAGGUUUACUAGCCAGCAUAUUCUAAACGGUGAACUUAGGCAGUUCAGACUACAUCCCAAAAAAAGGAAACAUCGUGACUUCAUCGUCUUUGAGAUUAUGCAAUUGUUUUAGGAAUUGAAGAUUUUGACUUCUAUGCGAAAUUGUUAAAGAUCCACCACAUGAUAACGACGAUGAAUUAAAAUACAUUCAAGCCUGCCCA